GGUAAUUUUUUUUUGAUCUAUUAACAUUCGAAUCACGCGUACGAGACUCAAUUUAGUGUGCUCCCAAACGCGUAAAAAAGAAAAGUAUAAAUUGCACUUUUGCGCGUUCAGUUUGCAUUCCCUCCAAAAUUUUAUAAAACACGUUCUCAUAUUCUUCUAUGGGAAUUAGGGCAACAACAAGAUCGACCCACUCGAUCGAUAGGAUUCACUUCACCGGCGACAGGUCUACCGUAAUUUCUACUCGGUAACGUAUUCCGAUCAUCUAUUUUGGUCUCAGCAAUGUAUAACGUCUCUUGAUGUACAAAAUUCUUUCAUGUUUUGUCAAAUUUUACCUUUAAAUCGAGCAGUACGGACGGUCCUGUAUUUGCAUGCUGAUAUUUGUCUCAGGCUUUUGUUCAGGGACGGAUUAAUUUAUCAGCGCCGCUUAAUUUUAGAGUAAUUUGUGUAAUUCUCCUAGGUGAUGCGAUAAAUUAUGGUUUGCUGUAGAGGAGAUCAGUUAAGUAGGUUAUAGAAACGCGGAGUAGUAUAAUGUAAAUUGAUAGGAAGUUUACAGGAAAAAUAAAUGGAAUGAGUUAGUUCUGAACUUCUGAUUCUUAAGGUCCUGUCCUGUUUUAUAUAAGUACAGGUACGUAUAUACUUGAUAAUGAUCUGAAGCAUGAAUACACGUUCCUUCGAAUAAUUUUUAUGUUUAUAAUGAGUGAUCUAUAUCAUUGUGUAAAUUGUGUGUCUAGCUACACACUGGUUUUUAUAUACACAUACUAGAAUAUGUAUUCAUGUACUAAUUAUUGAUAACUGAUGUACGAUGAACGAACAGAGUUGUACUUAUUUUAUUACGCCUGCUCUAGUGAAUGACAAGUCUUUAAAUUUAAUCUAGGCGUUUUCUUAUCUUCAUGGGAUAUGGCGAUCUCUCUUUUUUUGAGAUAGGGCUGGAGGAAGGAUUUUUGUUUAGUGGCUUUAAUAUGAUGCCCUUAGCUUGCAAUCUACCUUUUUACCUUUUAGGUGCUUCUCUCUUGGAAGUGUUUGAUGCCAAAACAGAUAUGUAAACUUGGUUUAGAAUGGCUGUUUAAUUUUUCAGUUGCUACAUAGAUAUUGACGGGAGAUUUGUACGAGUAACUUUUAGGAUGCUUUAACUUCAAAUCAAUCUGUAUCUUCAUGGGAAGCCUUUUGUUGAAUGCCCUUGACUUUCAGGCUUCAUAAGAAAUUCUGUAAUGCUCUAAGGUAGGUAAUGUACUAAUGUUCCAUAUAGCCAAUAUCGGAAUGUAUUAACAUGUAUCUGCAGCUUCUAUGAUACCUGUAACUGGAAUGCAAUUCACUUCCUACUUCUAAAAAGUAAUAGUGCAGUGUCAGGUCAUAUUUCCUUCAUGGAGGAUCUCAAUUAUCAAGUAUCUCUUGCUUGUAGGAGAGCAACUCCAGAAAGUGCUUCUCAGAUUCUGCUAGCCUUAACUUGCUAAGACGAAAAUCCUAAUGCAGAAAAGAGAGCACUAGUUUGAUUUCUUGAAAGUUAUGCUAAGUUGAUAUAUAUGCCUUCACCCUAGCAUUGAAAAACAGAGAGAUCAAAAUAAAUCCAACGUCAUGGUUGCAGUUACGCGUGCACAAUCUUGAUCAGCUUUCUGAGUUACAUUCCUGCUGCAAAAAAAAAAAAAUCGUAGUCCAUAUAUUGCUUGAGGUUACAUUGACAAGAUUUUUUCCUGCCCUUAGUGUAUUGAGGUGAUUAAUCGAGCCUGAAGUUCUAUCUUUGAAAUUCACUCUUCCCAAGCUGAAACUUAAUCAUAUGUGAAGAACUUCACUUACUUCAGAUAUGCAAUUUGUUAUUCAUUGGUUCAUACAAAAUACGCUGAAAUUAGAGUCAUGCCCUGAAAACUCUGAGGUUAAAAGAAAACCCUUAACACUCAAAAUUCUUGGCAAUUUUCAUGUUGUUUUCACAUGCUGUGAUGUAUUCCAUAUUCUAUUCAUGUAAUGCUUAUGAUGCCUCUGCAUUCUAUUUCUUUUAGGGAUAAUACACAAGUACCCCUCAACCUAUGUUCGAAAUUUCAGAGACACAUUAUACUAUACUUAAGUCCUAUUACCUCUGAACUUAUUUUAUUAAUAAUUUUCUACCCCUUUUCGGCCUACGUGGCAUUAUCUUGUGGGCCCAACGCUGGUUAACUUUUUUUUUUUUAAGUUAGUGCCACGUAAGCCGAAAAGGGGUAGAAAAUUACUUAUAUGAUAAGUUCGGGGUUAAUAGGAUCUUAGUAUAGUAUAAGUGUGUCUUUGGAUUUCAGGCAUAGGUUGAGGGGGUACUUGUGCAUUUUCCCUUUCUUUUAAUUUAUUUUUGGCUAUUAUGGUUCUAUUGAUUUGUGUGACCUUGUGUUUUUAUUAGGUAAUUUUGGAUGUAUAUACAGAUCACAACCAUCCAGAUCUAUCAUUGAGGUUCAUUCCUGUUGGAACAUUCCAGACUAAGAGUGCGUGGGCUAGAAAACAAGCCACUCAAGCAUCUGGAAUACUUGGAUCUUCUUAGGCCCACUGAUGCUGACUCCCACGUGAAGUAAUAUAUGUUCUUCAAAUGCCAUGCACACAAAUGUUCCAUUGAGCUUCAUUUCUUUUGACCGGUAAUAUUCCACUAUGGUGCUGCUUUUCCAACAUAUAUGAGUCAUAUCUUUAUUCUUUCACCAAAUUGGAAUAUAUAAAGCUAGGAAUCCAUGCGAACUUAGCUUAAGAUAGAGCACAGUGGAAGAAAAAAGAAGCUAUAUAGGCGUAACUAAUUUUCUGAAACUAUGUUUUCGUCAUGGUAGUACAUUUUUAGCUCUCUCAGAGACUUUUAUGCCAAUAGAAAAAACUUCAAGUACUUUUUUAAUUUUACUUUGUAUAAUGUUUUCUGAGAUGAAUUUUUAAAUGGAGAAACAUGGUUAGUGAGAAUUCAGAUAACUAACCGCAGUAUAUAUGAGAUUGAGGC
rnacentral:lncRNA from 1 species